UAAUACGAAGGUGGCAAGCGUUGUUCGGAUUCACUGGGCGUACAGGGAGCGUAGGCGGUUGAGUAAGCCCUCCGUGAAAUCUCCGGGCCUAACCCGGAAAGUGCAGAGGGGACUGCUCGGCUAGAGGAUGGGAGAGGAGCGCGGAAUUCCCGGUGUAGCGGUGAAAUGCGUAGAGAUCGGGAGGAAGGCCGGUGGCGAAGGCGGCGCUCUGGAACAUUUCUGACGCUGAGGCUCGAAAGCGUGGGGAGCAAACAGGAUUAGAUACCCUGGUAGUCCACGCCUUAAACUAUGGAUACUAAGUGUCGGCGGGUUACCGCCGGUGCCGCAGCUAACGCAGUAAGUAUCCCGCCUGGGAAGUACGGCCGCAAGGUUGAAACUCAAAUGAAUUGACGG
rnacentral:rRNA from 1 species